rnacentral:rRNA from 1 species
GGGCCCGCACAAGCGGAGGAACAUGUGGUUUAAUUCGAUGAUACGCGAGGAACCUUACCCGGGCUCGAACGGUGCAUGAAUAAUACAGAGAUGGAUUAGUCCUUCGGGACAUGUAUCGAGGUGCUGCAUGGUUGUCGUCAGCUCGUGCCGUGAGGUGUCGGCUUAAGUGCCAUAACGAGCGCAACCCUUGUCAUUAGUUACCAUCAGGUCAAGCUGGGGACUCUAGUGAGACUGCCACCGUAAGGUGUGAGGAAGGGGGGGAUGACGUCAAAUCAGCACGGCCCUUAUGUCCGGGGCGACACACGUGUUACAAUGGGAGGUACAGAGGGCAGCCAGUUAGUGAUAACGCGCCAAUCUCAAAAACCUUUCUCAGUUCGGAUUGGAGUCUGCAACUCGACUCCAUGAAGUUGGAUUCGCUAGUAAUCGCGCAUCAGCCAUGGCGCGGUGAAUACGUUCCCGGGCCUU